GAUGAACGCUGGCGGCGUGCUUAACACAUGCAAGUCGAACGAGAAGUGGAGACGGAAACCUUCGGGCGGAAGACUUUAUUUCGAGUGGCGGACGGGUGAGUAACGCGUGGGUAACCUGCCUCAUACAGGGGGAUAACAGUUGGAAACGACUGUUAAUACCGCAUAAGACCACAGCACCGCAUGGUGCGGGGGUAAAAACUCCGGUGGUAUGAGAUGGACCCGCGUUCGAUUAGCCAGUUGGCGGGGUAACGGCCCACCAAAGCGACGAUCGAUAGCCGAUCUGAGAGGAUGACCGGCCACAGUGGGACUGAGACACGGCCCAAACUCCUACGGGAGGCAGCAGUGGGGAAUAUUGCACAAUGGGGGAAACCCUGAUGCAGCGACGCCGCGUGAGUGAAGAAGUAUUUCGGUAUGUAAAGCUCUAUCAGCAGGGAAGAAAAUGACGGUACCUGAGUAAGAAGCCCCGGCUAACUACGUG
rnacentral:rRNA from 1 species